AGCGAACGUUUGCGGCGGGCCUAACACAUGCAAGUCGAACGCACUAGCAAUAGUGAGUGGCGCACGGGUGCGUAACACGUGGGUAAUCAACCCUUCAGCUUGGGAUAACGACUUGAAAGGGUCGCUAAUACCGGAUACGGCGCGAGAGGCUUCGGCUUCUCACGAGAAAGCCUCGCAAGGGGCACUGAAGGACGAGCCUGCGGCCCAUCAGCUAGUUGGUGAGGUAAGAGCUCACCAAGGCUAAGACGGGUAGCUGGUCUGAGAGGAUGAUCAGCCACACUGGAACUGAGACACGGUCCAGACUCCUACGGGAGGCAGCAGUGGGGAAUAUUGGACAAUGGGGGCAACCCUGAUCUAGCCAUGCCGCGUGUGUGAAGAAGGCCC
rnacentral:rRNA from 1 species